rnacentral:tRNA from 1 species
GGAGUUGUGGCUCAUUGGUAGAGUGCUUGCCUAGCACGUGUGAGGCACUGAGUUUGAUUCUCAGCACCA